GGCUCAGGAUGAACGCUAGCGGCAGGCCUAAUACAUGCAAGUCGAACGGUGUCUUCGGACAUAGUGGCGCACGGGUGCGUAACACGUAUGCAACCUACCUUACAUUGGGGGAUAGCCUUUCGAAAGGGAGAUUAAUACCGCAUAAGACAGUAGCUGGGCAUCCAGCAGCUGUUAAAGAUUUAUCGAUGUAAGAUGGGCAUGCGUCCAAUUAGUUAGUUGGCGAGGUAACGGCUCACCAAGACUUUGAUUGGUAGGGGAACUGAGAGGUCAAUCCCCCACACUGGCACUGAGAUACGGGCCAGACUCCUACGGGAGGCAGCAGUAGGGAAUAUUGGGCAAUGGACGCAAGUCUGACCCAGCCAUGCCGCGUGCAGGAUGAAGGCGUUAUGCGUUGUAAACUGCUUUUAUACAGGAAGAAACGACUCUUGCGAGAGGCAUUGACGGUACUGUAUGAAUAAGCACCGGCUAACUCCGUG
rnacentral:rRNA from 1 species